rnacentral:rRNA from 1 species
UACGAAUCGUCCUAACGUUGUUCGGAAUUACUGGGCGUAAAGCGCACGUAGGCGGACCGGAAAGUCAGAGGUGAAAUCCCAGAGCUCAACUUUGGAACUGCCUUUGAAACUCCUGGUCUUGAGGUCGAGAGAGGUGAGUGGAAUUCCGAGUGUAGAGGUGAAAUUCGUAGAUAUUCGGAGGAACACCAGUGGCGAAGGCGGCUCACUGGCUCGAUACUGACGCUGAGGUGCGAAAGCGUGGGGAGCAAACAGG